rnacentral:tRNA from 1 species
GGUUCCAUGGUGCAAUGGUUAGCACUCUGGACUUUGAAUCCAGUGAUCCGAGUUCGAGUCUCGGUGGAACCU